rnacentral:rRNA from 1 species
CAGCUAACGCACUAAGUAGACCGCCUGGGGAGUACGGCCGCAAGGUUAAAACUCAAAUGAAUUGACGGGGGCCCGCACAAGCGGUGGAGCAUGUGGUUUAAUUCGAUGCAACGCGAAGAACCUUACCAGGCCUUGACAUCCUGAGAACUUUGUAGAGAUACAUUGGUGCCUUCGGGACCUCAGUGACAGGUGCUGCAUGGCUGUCGUCAGCUCGUGUCGUGAGAUGUUGGGUUAAGUCCCGUAACGAGCGCAACCCUUGUCCUUAGUUGCCAGCACUUCGGGUGGGAACUCUAAGGAGACUGCCGGGGUCAACCCGGAGGAAGGUGGGGAUGACGUCAAGUCCUCAUGGCCCUUAUGUCCUGGGCUACACACGUGCUACAAUGGUCGGUACAAAGCGCUGCGAAGCCGCAAGGUGGAGCGAAUCGCAAAAAGCCGGCCUCAGUACGGAUUGCACUCUGCAACUCGAGUGCAUGAAGUCGGAAUUGCUAGUAAUCGUCGAUCAGCAGGCGACGGUGAAUACGUUCCCGGGCCUUGUACACACCGCCCGUCACACCAUGGGAGUCGAGUGCUCCAGAAGUGGCCACGCUAACCCGCAAGGGAGGCAGGUCCCCAAGGAGUGUUUGGUAACUGGGGUGAAGUCGUAACAAGGUAGCCGUA